GCCUACGGGAGGCAGCAGUGGGGAAUAUUGCGCAAUGGGGGAAACCCUGACGCAGCGAUGCCGCGUGGGUGAAGAAGGCCUUCGGGUCGUAAAGCCCUGUCAGGCGGGAAGAAUAGGCAGGCGGUUAAUACCCGCUUGCUGUGACGGUACCGCUGAAGGAAGCACCGGCUAACUCCGUGCCAGCAGCCGCGGUAAGACGGAGGGUGCGAGCGUUAUUCGGAAUUAUUGGGCGUAAAGAGCGUGUAGGCGGUCGGCCAAGCCAGAUGUGAAAGCCCAGGGCUUAACCCUGGAAGUGCAUUUGGAACUGGUCGACUUGAGUUCGGGAGAGGAAAGCGGAAUUCCGGGUGUAGAGGUGAAAUUCGUAGAUAUCCGGAGGAACACCGGUGGCGAAGGCGGCUUUCUGGACCGAAACUGACGCUGAGACGCGAAAGCGUGGGGAGCAAACAGGCUUAGAUACCCUGGUAGU
rnacentral:rRNA from 1 species